UACGGAGGGGGCUAGCGUUGUUCGGAAUUACUGGGCGUAAAGCGUGCGCAGGCGGUUAUGCAAGACAGAUGUGAAAUCCCCGGGCUUAACCUGGGAACUGCAUUUGUGACUGCAUAGCUGGAGUACGGUAGAGGGGGAUGGAAUUCCGCGUGUAGCAGUGAAAUGCGUAGAUAUGCGGAGGAACACCGAUGGCGAAGGCAGUCCCCUGGACCUGUACUGACGCUCAUGCACGAAAGCGUGGGGAGCAAACAGG
rnacentral:rRNA from 1 species